rnacentral:rRNA from 1 species
AUUGAACGCUGGCGGCAGGCCUAACACAUGCAAGUCGAGCGGAUGAAGGGAGCUUGCUCCUGGAUUCAGCGGCGGACGGGUGAGUAAUGCCUAGGAAUCUGCCUGGUAGUGGGGGAUAACGUCCGGAAACGGGCGCUAAUACCGCAUACGUCCUGAGGGAGAAAGUGGGGGAUCUUCGGACCUCACGCUAUCAGAUGAGCCUAGGUCGGAUUAGCUAGUUGGUGGGGUAAAGGCCUACCAAGGCGACGAUCCGUAACUGGUCUGAGAGGAUGAUCAGUCACACUGGAACUGAGAAACGGCCCAGACUCCUACGGGAGGCAGCAGUGGGGAAUAUUGGACAAUGGGGGAAAGCCUGAUCCAGCCAUGCCGCGGGUGUGAAGAAGGUCUUCGGAUUGUAAAGCACUUUAAGUUGGGAGGAAGGGAAGUAAGUUAAUACCUGGCUGUUUUGACGGUACCAACAGAAUAAGCACCGGCUAACUUCGUG